AAGUUAGUGGUGUCAGCUAAAAGGUUUCUUCUAAAUACCUUAACGAGGUGCAAUUCCUUGAUCACUUG
rnacentral:tRNA from 1 species